rnacentral:rRNA from 1 species
AGGAUCAUUACUGAACUGUCGACACGAGUUGUUGCUGGUCCUCGAAAGGGGGCAUGUGCACGCUCUGUUUACACAUCCACUCACACCUGUGCACCCUCUGUAGGUUCUGUGGCAUUGGGGACUCUGUCCUCUUGCUGUGGUCCUACGUCUUUACACACACACCGUAAUACAGUCUCAUGGAAUGUAUGUCGCGUUUAACGCAAUACAAUACAACUUUCAGCAACGGAUCUCUUGGCUCUCGCAUCGAUGAAGAACGCAGCGAAAUGCGAUAAGUAAUGUGAAUUGCAGAAUUCAGUGAAUCAUCGAAUCUUUGAACGCACCUUGCGCCCUUUGGCUAUUCCGAAGGGCAUGCCUGUUUGAGUAUCAUGAACACCUCAACUCUCAUGGCCUGCCAUGAUGAGCUUGGAUUUUGGAGGUCUUGCUGGCCUAACCCGUCGGCUCCUCUCAAACAAAUCAGCUUGCCAGUGUCUGGUGGCAUCACAGGUGUGAUAACUAUCUACGCUUGUGGUUCUCCACCAGGUAACCUUCAGCAAUGGAGGUUCGCUGGAGCUCACAGACGUCUAUCCUCAGGGAAGACAGCUUUUUGAACGUUUGAUCUCAAAUCAGGUAGGACUACCCGCUGAACUUAAGCAUAUCAAUAAGCGGAGGAAAAGAAACUAACAAGGAUUCCCCUAGUAACUGCGAGUGAAGCGGGAAGAGCUCAAAUUUAAAAUCUGGCGGCCUCCGGUCGUCCGAGUUGUAGUCUGGAGAAGCGUUUUCCGUGUUGGACCGUGUACAAGUCUCUUGGAACAGGGCGUCA